rnacentral:rRNA from 1 species
AGUGGAUGGGGAGCAACCUAGUUGUGCGUGUGUAAAGGUAGUGCCAAGAAAAGCGAUGAUCAUGUUGAAAAUCAAUUCCCGGUACCCGAAACCGACACAGGUGGGCAAGUAGAGAAUACUAAGGGGCGCGAGGUAACUCUCUCCAAGGAACUCGGCAAAAUGACCCCGUAACUUAGGGAGAAGGGGUGCCACCGAGAGGUGGUCGCAGUGAAGAGGCCCAGGCGACUGUUUAGCAAAAACAUAGGUCUCUGCAAACUCGAAAGAGGAGGUAUAGGGGCUGACGCCUGCCCAGUGCCGGAAGGUUAAAGAAGUUGGUCAGUUUUAGGAUGAAGCUAGCGACUGAAGCCCCGGUGAACGGCGGCCGUAACUAUAACGGUCCUAAGGUAGCGAAAUUCCUUGUCGGGUAAGUUCCGACCCGCACGAAAGGCGUAACGAUCUGGGCGCUGUCUCGGAGAGAGGCUCGGCGAAAUAGGAUUGUCUGUGAAGAUACGGACUACCUGCAUUUGGACAGAAAGACCCUAUGAAGCUUUACUAUAGCUUGGAAUUGUGUUCGGGCUUCCUGUGCGCAGGAUAGGUGGGAGGCGUAGAAGGUAUUCUUGUGGGGAUACUGGAGCCAACGGUGAGAUACCACUCUCAGGAGGCUAGAAUUCUAACUUAAUUAAGGACAGUUUCAGGUGGGUAGUUUGACUGGGGCGGUCGCCUCCAAAAAGGUAACGGAGGCGUACAAAGGUUCCCUCAGACUGGUUGGAAAUCAGUCGAAGAGUGCAAAGGCAGAAGGGAGCUUGACUGCGAGAAGUACAGUUCGAGCAGGGUGGAAACACGGUCUUAGUGAUCCAACGGUGCUGUGUGGAAGGGCCGUCGCUCAACGGAUAAAAGUUACUCUAGGAUAACAGGCUGAUCUCCCCCAAGAGUUCACAUCGACGGGGAGGUUUGGCACCUCGAUGUCGGCUCAUCGCAACCUGGGGCGGAAGUACGUCCCAAGGGUUGGGCUGUUCGCCCAUUAAAGCGGUACGUGAGCUGGGUUCAGAACGUCGUGAGACAGUUCGGUCCAUAUCCGAUGUAGGCGUGAGAAUAUUGAGAGGAGCCUUCCUUAGUACGAGAGGACCGGGAAGGACGCACCGCUGGUGUACCUGUUAUGAUGCCAAUUGUAAACGCAGGGUACCCAAGUGCGGAGAGGAUAACCGCUGAAAGCAUCUAAGUGGGAAGCCCACCUCAAGAUGAGUAUUCUGGUGUAAGGUCACGGGAAGACGACCCGUAAAUAGGCACGAGGUGGAAGUGCAGAGAUGUAUGCAGCCGAAGUGUACUAAUAGACCGUCGGCUUGAC